rnacentral:rRNA from 1 species
GACGAACGCUGGCGGCGUGCCUAAUACAUGCAAGUCGAGCGAAGUUUUUCUGGUGCUUGCACUAGAAAAACUUAGCGGCGAACGGGUGAGUAACACGUAAAGAACCUGCCUCAUAGACUGGGACAACUAUUGGAAACGAUAGCUAAUACCGGAUAACAGUAUUUCUCGCAUGAGAGAUAUUUAAAAGUUGGUUAUGCUAACACUAUGAGAUGGCUUUGCGGUGCAUUAGCUAGUUGGUGGGGUAAAGGCCCACCAAGGCGACGAUGCAUAGCCGACCUGAGAGGGUGAUCGGCCACACUGGGACUGAGACACGGCCCAGACUCCUACGGGAGGCAGCAGUAGGUAAUCUUCCGCAAUGGGCGAAAGCCUGACGGAGCAACGCCGCGCGAGUGAAGAAGGAUUUCGGUUCGUAAAGCUCUGUUGUUAGGGAAGAAUGGAUAUGUAGUAACUAUACAUGUAAGAGACGGUACCUAACCAGAAAGCCACGGCUAACUACGUG